CCCAAACCUCUCUCGCACGCGGGGACUGAGCACGGCCCGAAAAGCCGAGGACAGCCGGACUCACCCUGUAGUUAUAGUAGUGCGUCUGCACAAGAUGCCGGUGGCGCGACUUGUGGUUGCCGAAGUUGGAUUUCUCGCAAACCAAGAUGGGGUCUUGCUGUGUUGCCCAGACUGGUCUCAAACUCCUGAGCUCAAGUGAUCCACCCACCGUGGCCUCCCAAAGUGCUGAGAUUAAAGUAGAGAAGGGGUUUCGUCAUGUUGGCCAGACUGGUCCUGAACUCCUGACCUCAGGUGAUCUGCCUGCCUCGGCCUCCCAAAGUGUUAGGAUUACAAGUGCGAGCUACCGUGCGCAGCCGCUGGGAUCCCAUUUUAAUCAAGCCAAUUUGCUACCCAUGGGGACCUCAACAGCUUUGCCAUUGCACACUAUCUUUGCAGACAAGAUCUUAAUCACAUCCAACUUUCUGCAGUUGCACAGGGUACCUCAGACCCACAUCCCAGAUGACAUUCCUCAGAAGCUCGCAGCUGGAGAUGACAUCACCUUAGACAACAUCACCCUAGCCCAAGACAUCGCUAUUAGAGAUACAUCACCUGGACACUAAAGCCUCCAACCCAGUGACACUCUCAAGGUGCUGACAAAAUGGACAUGGACAUUUGUUGCUUUUCUUCUUUUGAAUUAGGAACUCUAUUGUGUUUCCUGAAUUUACUGUCUGCUUGGCCCAUGAUCCUGGUAUGUUCCUUGCUCUCUGCCAAAACAUGCACCGUCCCCUCCACACCUAAAGGAAAACCUGGUAGAAGCUACUACUCUCAAUGCCAUUCUAAAAUUGACGAAGAGUAUUAUUUUCCCCAAGAGGCAGCUGCUGCAGGCCAGUGAAUCCUCUGGACCCUGGGGAGAGGGUCAUACACUCCCUAGUGACUUCUACUGUAUGCUCCAGCUUUCCACCAGGACCUCCUGCCCUGUCCCCAACUGUAACGACCACAACCACCCCAUCCCCUUGGUUACACACAAAUAUCACCAGUCUUUACAUGUACUUUACUGACUUCUCAGAUAAUACCCUCCAACAAGAUAACUGCAGGACUUGCCACCAUGACCUGAGAAAUACACCAAGAUAUUAUUGUCCAA
rnacentral:lncRNA from 1 species